CAAAUCUGGAGAUAGCUGGUUCUCCCCGAAAACUAUUGAGGUAGUGCCUCGUGUAUUGCUCCAGGGGGUAGAGCACUGUUAUGGCUAGGGGGACAUGGCGUCUUACCAAACCAUGGCAAACUCCGAAUACUUGGAAGUAAGAGCACGGGAGACAGAGCACCGGGUGCUAACGUCCGGACUCAAGAGGGAAACAACCCAGACCGCCGUUUAAGGUCCCAAAUAUUGACUAAGUGGAAAACGAAGUGUGAAGGCUAAGACAGUCAGGAAGUUGGCUUAGAAGCAGCCAUCCUUCAAAGAAAGCGUAAUAGCUCACUGAUCGAGUCCUCAUGCGCGGAAGAUGUAACGGGGCUAAGUCAAUAACCGAAAGCGCGGAUUUGCACGAAAGUGCAAGUGGUAGGGGAGCGUUCUGUAAGCCUGCGAAGGUGGUUCGAGAGGACUGCUGGAGGUAUCAGAAGUGCGAAUGCUGACAUGAGUAACGUUAAAGCGGGUGAAAAGCCCGCUCGCCGUAAGCCCAAGGUUUCCUGCUCUACGUUCAUCGGAGCAGGGUGAGUCGGCCCCUAAGGCCAGGCUGAGAAGCGUAGUCGAUGGGAAGCAGAUUAAUAUUUCUGCACCAUGUGCAAGUGCGAUGGGGGGACGGAGUGCGAAAGAUCAUCCGGGUGUUGGAUGUCCCGGUUUGUGAGUGUAGAAGGCCGACAGGCAAAUCCGUCGGCGGAUCUUCGAGACAAAGCAUCGAGGUUCUACGGAACCGAAGUGAUCGGAAGUGCUUCCAGGAAAAGCCUCUAAGCUUCAGCUUGCAUAUGACCGUACCGUAAACCGACACUGGUGGGCGAGUUGAAUAUACUCAGGCGCUUGAGAGAACUCGGGAGAAGGAACUCGGCAAAUUGACACCGUAACUUCGGGAUAAGGUGUGCCUUUGUAGCGUGAAGAGAGAAACACUCGGAGCGUGAAGAGGCCUCAGAGAAUCGGUGGCUGCAACUGUUUAUUAAAAACACAGCACUCUGCAAAGACGAAAGUCGACGUAUAGGGUGUGAUGCCUGCCCGGUGCUGGAAGAUUAAGUGAUGGGGUGAGAGCUCCUGAUCGAAGUCCCAGUAAACGGCGGCCGUAACUAUAACGGUCCUAAGGUAGCGAAAUUCCUUGUCGGGUAAGUUCCGACCUGCACGAAUGGCAUAAUGAUGGCCACACUGUCUCCUCCCGAGACUCAGUGAAGUUGAAAUGUUUGUGAUGAUGCAAUCUCCCCGCGGCUAGACGGAAAGACCCCAUGAACCUUUACUGUAGCUUUGCAUUGGACUUUGAACCGAUUUGUGUAGGAUAGGCGGGAGGCAGAGAAAGCGCAACGCCAGUUGUGCCGGAGCCGACGUUGAAAUACCGCCCUGAUUUGUUUGAGGUUCUAACCGCGACCCGUAAGCCGGGUCCGGGACCGUGCAUGGCAGGCAGUUUGACUGGGGCGGUCUCCUCCUAAAGGGUAACGGAGGAGUACAAAGGUACGCUAGGUACGGUCGGAAAUCGUGCUGAUAGUGCAAAGGCAAAAGCGUGCUUGACUGCGAGACCGACAAGUCGAGCAGAUGCGAAAGCAGGUCUUAGUGAUCCGGUGGCUCUGUAUGGAAGGGCCAUCGCUCAACGGAUAAAAGGUACUCUGGGGAUAACAGGCUGAUACCGCCCAAGAGUUCAUAUCGACGGCGGUGUUUGGCACCUCGAUGUCGGCUCAUCUCAUCCUGGGGCUGUAGCCGGUCCCAAGGGUAUGGCUGUUCGCCAUUUAAAGAGGUACGUGAGCUGGGUUUAAAACGUCGUGAGACAGUUUGGUCCCUAUCUGCCGUGGGCGCUGGAAGAUUGACGGGGGCUGCUCCUAGUACGAGAGGACCGGAGUGGACGCACCUCUGGUGUACCGGUUGUCACGCCAGUGGCAUCGCCGGGUAGCUAUGUGCGGAAGAGAUAACCGCUGAAAGCAUCUAAGCGGGAAACUUGCCUGAAGAUAAGUCUUCCCGGAGGCUUGACCUCCCUGAAGAGUCGUUCGAGACCAGGACGUUGAUAGGUCGGGUGUGUAAGCGUUGUGAGACGUUUAGCUAACCGAUACUAAUUGCUCGUGAGGCUUGAUC
rnacentral:rRNA from 1 species